GCCGGGCGUUGUGGCGGGCGCCUGUGGUCCCAGCUACUUGGGAGGCGGAGGCAGGAGACUCGCUGGAGCCCAGGAGUUGGAGGUUGCUGUGAGCUGUAAUGCCAUGGCACUCUACCCAGGGGGACAGCUUGAGGCUCUGUCUCAAAAAAAACAAAACAACAACAACAAAAAAAAAUGUUGCCCAGUUCUGACAGACUUUUAAAUUUUUUUUUUUUCUUUUUGAGACAGAGCCUCAAGCUGUCCCCCUGGGUAGAGUGCUGUGGCAUCACAGCUCACAGCAACCUCCAACUCCUGGGCUCAAGCAAGUCUCCUGCCUCUG
rfam:Otolemur garnettii contig052822, whole genome shotgun sequence.